rnacentral:rRNA from 1 species
GAUGUACGCUGGCGGCGUGCCUAAUACAUGCCAGUCGAGCGAACAGACGAGGAGCUUGCUCCUCUGACGUUAGCGGCGGACGGGUGAGUAACACGUGGAUAACCUACCUAUAAGACUGGGAUAACUUCGGGAAACCGGAGCUAAUACCGGAUAAUAUAUUGAACCGCAUGGUUCAAUAGUGAAAGACGGUUUUGCUGUCACUUAUAGAUGGAUCCGCGCCGCAUUAGCUAGUUGGUAAGGUAACGGCUUACCAAGGCAACGAUGCGUAGCCGACCUGAGAGGGUGAUCGGCCACACUGGAACUGAGACACGGUCCAGACUCCUACGGGAGGCAGCAGUAGGGAAUCUUCCGCAAUGGGCGAAAGCCUGACGGAGCAACGCCGCGUGAGUGAUGAAGGUCUUCGGAUCGUAAAACUCUGUUAUUAGGGAAGAACAAAUGUGUAAGUAACUAUGCACGUCUUGACGGUACCUAAUCAGAAAGCCACGGCUAACUACGUG